CCUACGGGAGGCAGCAGUGGGGGAUAUUGCACAAUGGGGGGAACCCUGAUGCAGCGACGCCGCGUGGGUGAAGGAGUGCUUCGGCAUGUAAAGCCCUAUCGGCAGGGAAGAAGCAAGACGGUACCUGACUAAGAAGCCCCGGCUAACUACGUGCCAGCAGCCGCGGCAAUACGUAGGGGGCGAGCGUUAUCCGGAUUCACUGGGUGUAAAGGGAGCGUAGAUGGCCAUGCAAGCCAGGGGUGAAAGCCCGGGGCCCAACCCCGGGACUGCCCUUGGAACUGGGCGGCUAGAGUGCGGGAGGGGCAGGCGGAAUUCCUGGUGUAGCGGUGAAAUGCGUAGAUAUCAGGAGGAACACCGGCGGCGAAGGCGGCCUGCUGGACCGCGACUGACGUUGAGGCUCGAAAGCGUGGGGAGCGAACAGGAUUAGAUACCCCAGUAGUC
rnacentral:rRNA from 1 species